rnacentral:rRNA from 1 species
CCUACGGGGGGCUGCAGUAAGGAAUAUUGGACAAUGGCCGCAAGGCUGAUCCAGCCAUCCAGCGUGCAGGAAGAAGGCCCUAUGGGUUGUAAACUGCUUUUAUCAGGGAAUAAACCUCUGGAUUCACUCCGGAGCUGAAGGUACCUGAAGAAUAAGCACCGGCUAACUCCGUGCCAGCAGCCGCGGUAAUACGGAGGGUGCGAGCGUUAUCCGGAAUUACUGGGUUUAAAGGGUGCGUAGGCGGCUUUGUAAGUCAGGAGUGAAAGUUUGCGGCUCAACCGUAAAAUUGCUUCUGAUACUGCAUGGCUAGAAUUAGGAUGAGGUCAGCGGAAUGUGGCAUGUAGCGGUGAAAUGCAUAGAUAUGCCAUAGAACACCAAUUGCGAAGGCAGCUGGCUAGACCUGGAUUGACGCUGAGGCACGAAAGCGUGGGGAGCGAACAGGAUUAGAUACCCGUGUAGUC